rnacentral:tRNA from 1 species
UCACUAGUGGUCCAGUAGCUAAAACUCUGUGCUCCCAAUGCAGAGGGCCCAGGUUCAAUUCCUGGUCUGGGAA